AUAUUUUAGAGAAAUAAAAGCAGAGCAUAUUGGAGAAAGGGACAGAAAGAAACAUAAAAGAUGAAAUAAUACAGAAGAGAGGAUAAUUUACUGAAAUUGUGAGAGCAAAAACAAGACAGUUUGAGGAACAUACACUGAGUCCCACCUCUGACUGAAACCUGACCAGUUUACAUAACCUCCAUUUCCUCAAAGGAUCAAUCGCGCUAAAGAAGAAGCAGCUUGUAAUUCUUGGUGACAAUGUGAUGUUAGACUAUAUGUUCUCAUAGAGAGUCGUUUUCUGGCGUCUUUGAAGUAUUGGGGAAAAUGGCUGCUGGAAUACCAUUGAUUGCCGUUGAGCACCAGAGGCUCUUGGUUUUGUGAUGAUAGGCUAUGUUAAGUGUAUAAAGAUGAGUUCUGCAGAAGAAAAGCCUAAGUGGACUGUGUUUGAAGAAGUGAAGGAUAUAUCAGUAGCUCCUGAGGCACUUAUGGCUGAUAUAAAUUCUGCCAUUGCCGCCCUUGAGUAUGCCCGUGCUGCUACUUUCUUGCAGCGUCCGCCUCCUUCUGUAUCGAAACCAAAGACACUAAUAAAGAGUUGAGUUCUCGAUAUGAUGCUCAAACUUAGUUGUGAUACAUUUACAUUCCUUAAAGCUGUGUCCUAAAGGACCAGUCAUACAACUUUGUCAUUCCUGUUUUCUGUUCUUGGUAGUAAAAUUGUCUGCUGUUGUAGAAGGACCUUCUUUUGAUAAUAGAAAUUCUAGCAUUUUGUU